rnacentral:rRNA from 1 species
GGCAGAGGAUAGUGUUUAUUAGAUACAGAACCAAUACACCAGUGUCAAAACUGGUGUGAAAAAGGUGAUUCAUAGUAACCGAACGGAUCGCAUUAUGGUCAUUUUAUAAUGGCUGGCGAUAGAUCAUUCAAGUUUCUGACCUAUCAGCUUUCGACGGUAGUGUAUUGGACUACCGUGGCAGUGACGGGUAACGGGGAAUUAGGGUUCGAUUCCGGAGAGGGAGCCUGAGAAACGGCUACCACAUCUAAGGAAGGCAGCAGGCGCGCAAAUUACCCAAUCCUGACUCAGGGAGGUAGUGACAAGAAAUAACAACACUGGAAAUUUUAUUUCUAGUGAUUGGAAUGAUGGGAAUUUAAACCCCUUUCAGAGUAACAAUUGGAGGGCAAGUCUGGUGCCAGCAGCCGCGGUAAUUCCAGCUCCAAUAGCGUAUAUUAAAGUUGUUGCAGUUAAAAAGCUCGUAGUUGGAUGUCUGCUGGAAGCAAUCAGUCCGCCCUAUUUGUAGGGUGUGCACUUGAUGAAUUCUGGCAUUUUUGUCCCAAUGAUGUAACGGGGCAGAGUGGUAUUGGGCGAAAGUUCAAUAGCGUCUUUUCCGAUUAUUGGGAUACUGUUACUUUGAGAAAAUUAGAGUGUUUGAAGCAGGCUAAUUGCCUUGAAUACUGCAG